UACGUAGGUCCCGAGCGUUGUCCGGAUUUAUUGGGCGUAAAGAGCGCGCAGGUGGUUAAUUAAGUCUGAUGUGAAAGCCCACGGCUUAACCGUGGAGGGUCAUUGGAAACUGGUUGACUUGAGUGCAGAAGAGGGAAGUGGAAUUCCAUGUGUAGCGGUGAAAUGCGUAGAGAUAUGGAGGAACACCAGUGGCGAAGGCGGCUUCCUGGUCUGCAACUGACACUGAGGCGCGAAAGCGUGGGGAGCAAACAGG
rnacentral:rRNA from 1 species